AUUGCUAUGUGUGGCCAUGUUUGUGAGCCACUGGCCCGGUCCAGGUAGCUUUCGUGCAGGCUCCUCCUGCUCUCACCUUUCCAUCAUCCGCCUUGCAACCAUCAGCCUCCUAUGGUCCCCGUCGAGAUUUCCUGACUCUCUGGAAUGCCGCGCUGUCAUCUCCCCUCUCCACACUCCUAAGUGAAUUUGCACUUUGCUGGCUGCUGGAGUCCCAGCUUCUGCCAUGAUAUCAGGAGAUACUCCACACGUUGAUCAGACCCUUUGAGCCAUCACCUUCCUGGUUAUCCCUAACAGGUCCUUGCCUCUGGAAUCCAAAUUAAGACAGCGUGCCAUGAAAAAAAAAAGAAAGAAAAAAGAAAAAUGUUCUGCGAGUUCCUUGGUGGCCUAGCAGUCAAUGGAUCCAGCGUUGUCACUGCUGUGGCACCAGUUCAGUCCCUGGCCUGGGGAAUUUCUGCAUGCCGUGGGUGCGGCCAAAAGAAAAGUGUUGUUAUCAAAACCUCCUCUUGAUGACCUGUAAUUCAUUUUAGCACCUUAAUAGUUCAGAAAUUUGUGUUGUAAUAAAAAAUAAAAAACAAAACUCUUUACACUAUAUUUUGCCACUGUAUUUCUCCAGUGUAUUUGUGCUUAGUUGAAAGAAUGGCCUUUAGAAUCAAAAUGAUCCAGUUUGAAUGAUGGCUCCAUUAUUUGCUUUGGAA